CCCUUAGAUGUUCUGGGCUGCACGCGCGCUACACUGAUGCGUUCAACAAGUUGGACCUCGUCCGAGAGGAAAUCGGGGGAAUCUUUUGAAAACGUAUCGUGAUGGGGAUAGAUUAUUGUAAUUAUUAAUCUUCAACGAGGAAUUCCUAGUAAGCAUGAAUCAUCAGCUCGUGCUGAUUACGUCCCUGCCCUUUGUACACACCGCCCGUCGCUCCUACCGAUUGAGUAAUCCGGUGAAUUAACCAGAUUGUGGCGAGGGUAGUUUUCUGCUAUUGCUACGAAAAGGUUUGUGAACCUUAUCACUUAGAGGAAGGAGAAGUCGUAACA
rnacentral:rRNA from 1 species